rnacentral:tRNA from 1 species
GCCGAAAUAGCUCAGUUGGGAGAGCGUUAGACUGAAGAUCUAAAUGUCCCCGGUUCGAUCCCGGUUUCGGCA